CAGAACGAACGCUGGCGGCGCGUUUAAGCAUGCAAGUCGAGCGGCAAGGGCCUUCGGGCCCCUAGAGCGGCGGACGGGUGAGUAACACGUGGACAAUCUGCCCCCCGGCCCGGGAUAGCCCAGGGAAACCUGGAUUAAUACCGGAUGAGACGGGACCCGCGAUGGCGGGACCCGGGAAAGGCGCUGCGGCGCCGCCGGGGGAUGAGUCUGCGUCCCAUUAGCUAGACGGCGGGGUAACGGCCCACCGUGGCGACGAUGGGUAGCCGGCCUGAGAGGGUGGACGGCCACAUUGGAACUGAGACACGGUCCAGACUCCUACGGGAGGCAGCAGCUAAGAAUCUUCCGCAAUGGGCGAAAGCCUGACGGAGCCGACGCCGCGUGAACGAAGAAGGCCGUGAGGUUGUAAAGUUCUUUUCGGGAGGGGGAACAACCGUGGCAGGGAAUGGCCGCGGGAUGACGUGAAUCCCGGAAUAAGCCCCGGCUAACUACGUGCCAGCCGCGGC
rnacentral:rRNA from 1 species